GACGAACGCUGGCGGCGUGCUUAACACAUGCAAGUCGAGCGGUAAGGCCCUUUCGGGGGUACGACGAGCGGCGAACGGGUGAGUAACACGUGGGUGACCUGCCCUCAGCUCUGGGGUAAGCCUGGGAAACCGGGUCUAAUACUGGAUAUGACUCCAUGACGCAUGUUGUGGGGUGGAAAGCCUUGUGCGGCUGAGGAUGGGCCCGCGGUCUAUCAGCUUGUUGGUGGGGUGAGGCCUACCAAGGCGACGACGGGUAGCCGGCCUGAGAGGGCGACCGGCCACACUGGGACUGAGACACGGCCCAGACUCCUACGGGAGGCAGCAGUGGGGAAUAUUGCACAAUGGGCGAAAGCCUGAUGCAGCAAUGCCGCGUGUGUGAAGAAGGCCUGCGGGUUGUAAAGCACUUUCGGUA
rnacentral:rRNA from 1 species